rnacentral:pre_miRNA from 1 species
UGUGUCUUGUCGUGCUGCUGCUUAUACAUGUAAUGCAGACAGCAGAAAAAGGUACAGA